GACGAACGCUGGCGGCGUGCUUAACACAUGCAAGUCGAGCGAGGUCCAACCGGUGGCAACACCGGGGAAGACCUAGCGGCGAACGGGUGAGUAACACGUGAGAAACCUGCCCCGAAGUUCGGGAUAACCCGGGAAACCCGAGCUAAUACCGGAUACCCACGAUUGGUCGCAUGGCCGAAUCGUGGAAAGAACUUCGCUUCGGGAGGGUCUCGCGGCCUAUCAGCUUGUUGGUGGGGUAACGGCCCCACCAAGGCAUCGACGGGUAGCUGGUCUGAGAGGACGAUCAGCCACACUGGGACUGAGACACGGCCCAGACUCCUACGGGAGGCAGCAGUGGGGAAUCUUGCGCAAUGGGCGAAAGCCUGACGCAGCAACGCCGCGUGCGGGA
rnacentral:rRNA from 1 species